UGUGUAUUCCCUGAUUCUAUUUUAGGCUGUUCCAAUCCUGUUUAUAAAGUCUUAAAGAGUUCUUGAAUGUUAUCGUGAAACGCAAAGGCCAGCAUUUUUUAUCUCAAUGGUUUCUAAUUACUUGCCUUUUUAUUGAUGCCAAUGUUUAUAUCUUGGUAACUACACCUUGAGUGCGUUAAAAGAUAUGGAUUUUGGAGCUUUGUUGAAUGAUCGACUUAUUAUUUAAUCAAAGAAAUCAUCCUUCUGCAAAUUUGAGUUAUUAUAAAAUGAAAAUAUCUUUGUGCUGAUUCCCUUUUUGCACCUACUCCCAAGCUUGAUCUGAAGAUAGAGGCUUCUAAGCUUCUGUAUUGUAUCCUGUCCUAACCUUUGAAUCUCAUUUAAAACUUGGGUAAAGUGCAUGUGUACACUGAAACAAGAUAAACCUUUCCCACAAUUUGGGUACAUUUAUGCUGUUAUGCUCUAGGAUGAGUUAGAAUAUAAGAACCAAGGACAUUUUUAAUAGUUUUUGCGCAUGUUUUCUUCUCUUUUCACCUCUCUUUAAUUUGGGAUAUGUGCUGGGUUUAAAUUGUUGAUUACAAUUUCACAAAAUACAUGAAGAAAGCCUUAUAGAGGGAAUGUUAAGUUGGGGAGGAAGUGCUCUUCAACACAUUUAUAUCAUCGACGCCUUUUGUUAUCCUUGUAACUCCGAAUAGCAGAAAUUUAAGCUGCCUGUUUGAAUAUUUUAAGUUGGGGAGGAAAUGCAGUAUUUAGCGGUUGUUUUGUUUGAUUUAGUAAUUGCGUUAAAUGGAAUCUGGAGAUGCAAAGUUUUAUGCAAUUGAAGAGUUGGGUAACCAAUUACAAGGUUGACUUACAAAAUUAAAAGUAUGGAUUCUUUCUCCAUGCAUUAUUCAUCAGGCAAUGUGAUAAUUAUUGCAGAUAUGUUGAUACUUGCUAUUCCAAUCUCAACUAUGCAUAACACUGUUCCGGAGAAAUAUAGAUUUGAUUUUGAGGAUUUUAUAUUCAAAAAGGGAGACUAGCUACGUGUUUAGAUUUCCAUGGUUGCUUCUGUUAUUCUGUGUUAAUGGAUUCCCCUUAAUGCAAGUGUGAAACACAUGCCUCAUUAUUAUAGCAGUUGUUUUGUCUGAUUCAGUAGUUGUUCUAAAUUGAAUCUGGAGAAGCAAAAUUUUAGUUCGAAUGAAGAGUUAGAUAUCCAAUCACAAUUCACAAGGUUGAGUUCCUAAUG